CAUCUGUUUCUGUCUUUGCUUGUUUUUCUUGUUGUUUUGCAGCUUGGGAUGAAGCCAUGCCUCUGUUUUCGCAGCGUCUCGUGCAGUGACUCUGCAUUUGUUCCUGUGCAUCUGCUUCCACAUCUCCCGUGAUCUCCGCUGCACAAACACCUGGAUUCUUGUUUCAGCCUGGCAGGUGAAGGAGCAGCGUGGAAGACAGAGGGGACCCUCAGCAGGAAAAUCACCCCAGAAAUGGUUUGAGUGUGCCAAAAGCUUUGCUUGCCAGUGGCGGCUUCUGCAGCACCAGCAAAUCUGCCGGGGGCAGGACCCCAGCUAUGUGGCAGGGUGAGAUGAGCUUUGGCCGGGCUCAGCACUCACUGGUCACUGGAGGAUGCUUUUGCAGAAGCCCUCCAAAUUCCAGGAGAGGAGAAAAGCUUCAGCCACAGCCCACGGCUCAUCCAGCACCACCACGUUCACCAGGGAAAGAAUGCCAAAGAAAAGCUUUGUCUGGGUCAGACAGCAUCUGCUGGGCUACAGUCAAACUGGUGUUUCUGAAGAUAUAAAAGAGAGAAGGUUCUCCAGAGAACAACAUUUCAUGUUUAUUAGUAACAGAAGGACCUGGACUUCUACACUGCCAAUUUGGUGAACACAGGUAUUCUCCCUUGUAGCAAAAGUCGAAAGUUUUCUUUGUUGUCUCUGCCUGCCCGCAUGGAGUCUUUCAGACAAAUCAAGAUUUUCAAGGUUUUUUUGAGUGUUUCUUUGCAGGACUGUGCUGAACUCUUUCUCCUUCGGCAGCCAAGGUUACCCUACUUAAAAGUGUAAGUGUAACACCAGAAACUUGGGUCUCUAAAUCACCAACCGCCUGUAAAACUCCAACUCUUUUCACCUGAAAACUACAGCUUGCUACCAGCCAAAAGAAGAAAACAGAGGAAAACAGGAAGGAAGGACUGUGUGUGGUCCCCUCUGCCUGUCUGCAUGGGUCUCAGUGCUGAAAUAUGCCCCCAUCCCACCCCAUCUCAUCCCAUCUGCUUCUGGGACUGGGAAUGAGACACAUCCUAGAAACUCCUACACUCCUGGAAAUGGUGAUGUACGACACGCAGUUUGGGAGCAGAUGCUGAUUUAUAUCUCAAUAUAAUUUGAAAUGAUAUAAAAAAACAGCAGUCAGAGAUUCUGAAUAUUCUUGGUAGCAAUAAAGGACUAAGGGUGGUAUUGGGAGACUCUUACGCCAAGCAAAGGAUGUGUGGCCUGAAACAGAGAAAUGAUUGUUCUCAUCCAAUUAAUGUAAUGUAACGUAAUAUUCCAGUAUACUAGUAUGUAUACACUAAUAUAAUACAACAAUAAUCUAAUAAUCCACUAUAAUAACAUAAGGUGUUUCCAGCCGUGCGGAGGUCGGGGAAGCAGCUCUGACAUCGCUGGAUGUUUGCAGAAGGAGAUUUCUGCCUGGCGACCGGGGAGGUUGGCCGAGGGCCUUGGAUCUGGCAACCUGUGACGGUAAGGAAUGCAGAGCAUGCUUUGCCCAGGGAAACAGAAGGGACUAUGGUAUCUGUGCUGGUGAAAGGGGCAUGUUGAACCAUGAGGGACCUGUGCUGGGAGCUCCCCCAUCCUGCUGCCUAUGGUGGCCUUGAGCCUCCCAGGGGGUGAAGCUGAAGGUGCUCCCCACCUCCUGCUUGGAUGAAAUGAAUUGAGGCCAGACUGAGAUUUGAAAUUCCGUAUUUUCUACUGUUGACAGAGCCACCCACCUGCAGCAGUGCUGCUUAGCUGGAAGAUCACUUGCCUUCUUGUUGAGCGAUUUUGUAUGUUUUUAUGGAGAGUGCUCACCCAUUAGAGAGAUUUACUUACGGUGAGCGUCUCCUAAUGCCUGGAGAUUGCGGAUACUUGGGGUUCACGGCUGAUAUAUUUGCUUUGCACUGAUUAAAUUUGCCCCUCUGAGAAAUGCAGAGUAAUUGGUGGCAUCCUCAUUUCAUCUGAGCAGCUCUCAUCUUUUCUGGAAGGGAGACGGCGGGCAGAGCAGUGAGGAGCAGUUGCAUUAGGAUGAUCAUGUCCCAGCCACAUUAGAGACUUCUGCAUAAUCGGUGGUGUUUGUCAGAAGGAAAACAUCGUCCUCAUCCUUCUGCAGGUAUUGCAGGUGAGGGUAAUUAGCUGGAAUUAUUGCAUAGGCAUGUGGGAAAUUGCUCACCAGUAAGCACCUGUAUCCCUAGCAGGCUGUUAGCCAGAGCUCUGUGCUUCUCCUGGCGCUUAACAGACGCCAUUUGGAUCUCAUUGCGUCGCUGUGGGCAGGCGUGUGUUCACACGCACGCAGCUGGGCCACAGGUACCAUUGCUGAGCGGAAGCGUUAAGGCUACAAGUCAAAGCAUGUGCUAAGAACAGCGUGGAGACCCUGGGGCAAUGUGAAAAGGACUUACUGCAAGCUAGAAAAAUAUGCUGCAAAGCUGGAGGCAGCUGAAUAGGAACAGAUUGCAAAUAUGAACGGCCUGACCCGGGUAGCAAAAGUCUGAAGUCCUUCUCAGCCAAGCCUGGAGUUGGACCAGCACCACCGGCUGCCUGGGAGUGCUGGACCUGGCCAGCGUUGGCCUGAGGGCCAGCCAGAGAUGGAGGGCACGAGACUUUGAGUGGGGUGGGCAAAGCCAUUUGCAAGGCUGGAGAGCCAGUGAUGGGUACAAAUUCGACCUGUCCAGGAUGGGGGCUCACAAGGGAGCAAACUUCUGUCAUGGACCAGCAUGGCUGCACCUGGGUCUCAUCCAGCAUCGCCCAGCAGAAGCUUUAGUCCCCAAGGGUCAGAGCAUCCAUGCGGACUGGCCAGGAGACUGGGGGGAAGGGGCUCAGCUGGUCUGCGAUCACCUCCUGGGCACAACAGGAGCACCAGCCAUCCCAGGGAACGGAGGAUAAGGGUGUUUACUUGUGUAUAUUACAUAUAUUUGCCUCCUGCUCAUUAAUUAUCCUGAUUCUUAAGCCACGCUGGUUAAUCGGAGCCAUUUGGGGCUGUUGUGAAUACCCCUAUCAUUUGUAUGAAUUACAGGUAGUCGCUAAUUGAAGAUAUAGUUACUUUAUGCUGAUACAGUCUGGUGCUCUUGCCGUUUUCGGGGGUGGCAGUUAAUUUUAGUCACAUUUGAUUGUAGCAGUUUCCUGGGAAAUGCCAGGUAAGCAGACAAUUUCUGCUUAUGAUGAGAAAUACCCACAGCUCCUAGUCAGUGUAGACUAAAUGAAAAUGUACCUGCCUUAUGUUAAUUAACUGAUUCACACUAUUCCUGGGCAAUACUGGUUAAUCAGCUAUAUUCCUUUGAUUAUCAUGACUAACUCCAGCCAAUCAAUAGGGAGUGUGGAGCAUGGCGAUUUUAUGGAUGUACAUUUACCAUCUGCUGAUUAAUUUCUACUAUUCUGAGACACUAUCAGCCUGUAAAAGCCAUUUUUUUUCCUCCUGGUUAGUUAUUAGUGUCAUACGGUAAUGCAGUGUGCAGUAGUGCUUAACUAAAGGCAUAUUUGCUGUCUACUAUCUAAUUCCAAUAAUUUCUGUAGGAUGCUACUUAAUCAGCAGCGCUUUUGCUUAUACUGUCUUCCACUAUUUCUAGGGCGUUUGUGAUGAUCAAGAUGAGCUGUAGCUGUUCAACUGUUUUAACAUAUUUAGUUAAACACCCCUGAAAAUAGCAAGUAUCAAAGAGUUUGCUCACAGAGGGUAACUCUGUUUGGAGGGAGGCUCUGGUUUGGGUGGUGAAGAGACCUGCUUGUGCCAUGACAAAACCUCCCCUUCGACCUUGAGAAACCCACCAGGUAAACAGCGUGGUUUUUGUUUGUGUUUCUUUCCAUUUCUCUGGCUGCCAUGAUCAGUUCCCAGCACCCCUGAAGAGCGCUGCUUCAUCAGGUACAUAUUUUGUUGAUAAACCAUAAUUUGAUCAUUGGCAUGGAAUGGCUGGUAUUGCUGUUAAGCAGGGCUCGGCUUGUCUUAUGCUGAUUAAUUCUCUUAAUUUCUAGGUAAUUAGAUUUAUUAGAUGCGUUUUGUACUUAUAUCGAACAAUUCCCGUUAUUAUUUACGACUGGGGCACUGGCAGUCAAUUGGUGGUGUAUUUGUCUCAAGCUGCUUCGUUCCCCUUCUCCAUGGGCGACGUCAGCUAAUUUGAGGCGAUUUGUGCACAUGGUGAGUAAUUCCUCUCUUUUCCAGCGAAAUGGGAGCUAAUGAUGGUUGAUAAGGAGCCGAUUUGCCAUCACCUGAUUAAUUCCCAGCAUCCCUAGGAAUUCCAGCCAACUUAAUGUACCCAGUUCCCGGUGCUUGUAAGGACACGGUUGUGAUUGGAAACCAGUUUCGUUGUACGCUGGUUGACUGCCAUGAGGGCAGGGCGUGCUGGAGGGACCAGCGACUUUCUGCAAAGGAAACUGCAGGCAAUGAUGGACAAAUGGAGACAUCCUCGUGCUGCUGUUGGCAGUUCCCCAUAUCCCUGGAGAAAGCUGAAGAGCCUGAGAUGUUUUCCUGGCAGACCCUUGCCCAGCUGAUCCCUCAGGGAUCCCAGAAAAGGUCUCUGCCCAGUUGCAAUUUUCACACCAUUCACCACCUGCAAGCAGAGAAGCACUGGCCAACAUCUCAAGUGGGCUGGAGCAGAGCAGAAGAACUAUCUCAAAGUGCAUCCUCUUCCCUGGUGAAAUUUCACACAGGUUUUACCUACACAGCCAAAGCAACGUGAAGAAAAAUCUCCUCUAUAAACCAGCAGAUUUACACAUCCAACCUCACUGGAACCAAGGGAGUUUUAGAGCAGAACAUGUUCCUCUCCUUCAUGUUCGCCUUGUCUCUUUGUUGGCACCCUGCCCUCUUGGACCACUCCUGCCCGGACUGAAGCUGAUUUUACCUGACUCAAUCAUAUGCUCGGAGUCAAAGCAAGCAGCUGGGAGGGGGAGUUGUUGUACAAAACUCUUUAUGGUCCUCAUUUAUAAAGCAGAUGGAAGAUGUUUUUCUGUGGCAGGACCAACCCCUUCCAGCAGCACACGGCACUGAUGGCUCCUGCACACCUAGACUGCAGGGUCUGAGGGAAAAAAAAUGGGGUUGGAAAAACCAGGCAUUAAAUACUCUGGUUAUGAAUCAUAAUCAUCGUUGACACUUGUAGUUUGCUUGUGAGGCUCUGCACAGAGCACACCCCAAGGAGAAACUGGAGGCUGCUUCGUCCUCUAGAGCAGGGGGAGGAAAGCAUUAAAAAAGCAGUGGCACCUUUUGUACGUGGCGACAUGGUGACCAGAAUGCUAAUGCAUUGGGAACUUGUUCUCAUACGUAGGGAGUGCCUAUAAUAGAGAAGCAAAUCCAGUUUUUGCUAGAUACAAAUUCCACCAAACAGUUCAAAUCCUAACUGAAAUGUUUCAAGAGGCUGUAAUUGAAAUAGAGGUGAUGGAGAAAGGCUGUGGCUCUGAGCUCUGAGGGGCUGGAGAGGAACAUGCAGCCUUGGGCCAGGUGGAGGGAGAUUUUGGGAGCACAGCUGAGGCUCUCACAGGAGAAGGAGAGGACAGAGGGAGAACAUGGAGCUGCUGGGCAGAGAGCAAGGUGAUGUGCUGCUCACCAGGCUUGGCUGGAGACAGGAGACAGCAAUGCUGGCAUGGCCAAAUGGACCCUGGGAAGCAGCGACCACCAACCCAGAGCUAGAGGAAGGGAUGCAUCCUGUUUCUGGUGAUGAAA